GGUUAAGCGACUAAGCGUACACGGUGGAUGCCCUGGCAGUCAGAGGCGAUGAAGGACGUGCUAAUCUGCGAUAAGCGUCGGUAAGGUGAUAUGAACCGUUAUAACCGGCGAUUUCCGAAUGGGGAAACCCAGUGUGUUUCGACACACUAUCAUUAACUGAAUCCAUAGGUUAAUGAGGCGAACCGGGGGAACUGAAACAUCUAAGUACCCCGAGGAAAAGAAAUCAACCGAGAUUCCCCCAGUAGCGGCGAGCGAACGGGGAGGAGCCCAGAGCCUGAAUCAGUGUGUGUGUUAGUGGAAGCGUCUGGAAAGGCGCGCGAUACAGGGUGACAGCCCCGUACACAAAAAUGCACAUGCUGUGAGCUCGAUGAGUAGGGCGGGACACGUGGUAUCCUGUCUGAAUAUGGGGGGACCAUCCUCCAAGGCUAAAUACUCCUGACUGACCGAUAGUGAACCAGUACCGUGAGGGAAAGGCGAAAAGAACCCCGGCGAGGGGAGUGAAAAAGAACCUGAAACCGUGUACGUACAAGCAGUGGGAGCACGCUUAGGCGUGUGACUGCGUACCUUUUGUAUAAUGGGUCAGCGACUUAUAUUCUGUAGCAAGGUUAACCGAAUAGGGGAGCCGAAGGGAAACCGAGUCUUAACUGGGCGUUAAGUUGCAGGGUAUAGACCCGAAACCCGGUGAUCUAGCCAUGGGCAGGUUGAAGGUUGGGUAACACUAACUGGAGGACCGAACCGACUAAUGUUGAAAAAUUAGCGGAUGACUUGUGGCUGGGGGUGAAAGGCCAAUCAAACCGGGAGAUAGCUGGUUCUCCCCGAAAGCUAUUUAGGUAGCGCCUCGUGAAUUCAUCUCCGGGGGUAGAGCACUGUUUCGGCAAGGGGGUCAUCCCGACUUACCAACCCGAUGCAAACUGCGAAUACCGGAGAAUGUUAUCACGGGAGACACACGGCGGGUGCUAACGUCCGUCGUGAAGAGGGAAACAACCCAGACCGCCAGCUAAGGUCCCAAAGUCAUGGUUAAGUGGGAAACGAUGUGGGAAGGCCCAGACAGCCAGGAUGUUGGCUUAGAAGCAGCCAUCAUUUAAAGAAAGCGUAAUAGCUCACUGGUCGAGUCGGCCUGCGCGGAAGAUGUAACGGGGCUAAACCAUGCACCGAAGCUGCGGCAGCGACACUGUGUGUUGUUGGGUAGGGGAGCGUUCUGUAAGCCUGUGAAGGUGUGCUGUGAGGCAUGCUGGAGGUAUCAGAAGUGCGAAUGCUGACAUAAGUAACGAUAAAGCGGGUGAAAAGCCCGCUCGCCGGAAGACCAAGGGUUCCUGUCCAACGUUAAUCGGGGCAGGGUGAGUCGACCCCUAAGGCGAGGCCGAAAGGCGUAGUCGAUGGGAAACAGGUUAAUAUUCCUGUACUUGGUGUUACUGCGAAGGGGGGACGGAGAAGGCUAUGUUGGCCGGGCGACGGUUGUCCCGGUUUAAGCGUGUAGGCUGGUUUUCCAGGCAAAUCCGGAAAAUCAAGGCUGAGGCGUGAUGACGAGGCACUACGGUGCUGAAGCAACAAAUGCCCUGCUUCCAGGAAAAUCCUCUAAGCAUCAGGUAACAUCAAAUCGUACCCCAAACCGACACAGGUGGUCAGGUAGAGAAUACCAAGGCGCUUGAGAGAACUCGGGUGAAGGAACUAGGCAAAAUGGUGCCGUAACUUCGGGAGAAGGCACGCUGAUAUGUAGGUGAAGCGACUUGCUCGUGGAGCUGAAAUCAGUCGAAGAUACCAGCUGGCUGCAACUGUUUAUUAAAAACACAGCACUGUGCAAACACGAAAGUGGACGUAUACGGUGUGACGCCUGCCCGGUGCCGGAAGGUUAAUUGAUGGGGUCAGCGCAAGCGAAGCUCUUGAUCGAAGCCCCGGUAAACGGCGGCCGUAACUAUAACGGUCCUAAGGUAGCGAAAUUCCUUGUCGGGUAAGUUCCGACCUGCACGAAUGGCGUAAUGAUGGCCAGGCUGUCUCCACCCGAGACUCAGUGAAAUUGAACUCGCUGUGAAGAUGCAGUGUACCCGCGGCAAGACGGAAAGACCCCGUGAACCUUUACUAUAGCUUGACACUGAACAUUGAGCCUUGAUGUGUAGGAUAGGUGGGAGGCUUAGAAGUGUGGACGCCAGUCUGCAUGGAGCCGACCUUGAAAUACCACCCUUUAAUGUUUGAUGUUCUAACGUUGACCCGUAAUCCGGGUUGCGGACAGUGUCUGGUGGGUAGUUUGACUGGGGCGGUCUCCUCCUAAAGAGUAACGGAGGAGCACGAAGGUUGGCUAAUCCUGGUCGGACAUCAGGAGGUUAGUGCAAUGGCAUAAGCCAGCUUGACUGCGAGCGUGACGGCGCGAGCAGGUGCGAAAGCAGGUCAUAGUGAUCCGGUGGUUCUGAAUGGAAGGGCCAUCGCUCAACGGAUAAAAGGUACUCCGGGGAUAACAGGCUGAUACCGCCCAAGAGUUCAUAUCGACGGCGGUGUUUGGCACCUCGAUGUCGGCUCAUCACAUCCUGGGGCUGAAGUAGGUCCCAAGGGUAUGGCUGUUCGCCAUUUAAAGUGGUACGCGAGCUGGGUUUAGAACGUCGUGAGACAGUUCGGUCCCUAUCUGCCGUGGGCGCUGGAGAACUGAGGGGGGCUGCUCCUAGUACGAGAGGACCGGAGUGGACGCAUCACUGGUGUUCGGGUUGUCAUGCCAAUGGCACUGCCCGGUAGCUAAAUGCGGAAGAGAUAAGUGCUGAAAGCAUCUAAGCACGAAACUUGCCCCGAGAUGAGUUCUCCCUGACCCUUUAAGGGUCCUGAAGGAACGUUGAAGACGACGACGUUGAUAGGCCGGGUGUGUAAGCGCAGCGAUGCGUUGAGCUAACCGGUACUAAUGAACCGUGAGGCUUAACCUU
rnacentral:rRNA from 1 species